rnacentral:rRNA from 2 species
ACCUUCGGGCCUCUUGCCAUCAGAUGUGCCCAGAUGGGAUUAGCUUGUUGGUGAGGUAACGGCUCACCAAGGCGACGAUCCCUAGCUGGUCUGAGAGGAUGACCAGCCACACUGGAACUGAGACACGGUCCAGACUCCUACGGGAGGCAGCAGUGGGGAAUAUUGCACAAUGGGCGCAAGCCUGAUGCAGCCAUGCCGCGUGUAUGAAGAAGGCCUUCGGGUUGUAAAGUACUUUCAGCGGGGAGGAAGGUGUUGUGGUUAAUAACCGCAGCAAUUGACGUUACCCGCAGAAGAAGCACCGGCUAACUCCGUGCCAGCAGCCGCGGUAAUACGGAGGGUGCAAGCGUUAAUCGGAAUUACUGGGCGUAAAGCGCACGCAGGCGGUCUGUCAAGUCGGAUGUGAAAUCCCCGGGCUCAACCUGGGAACUGCAUUCGAAACU